GCAUACCGAGCCAGAGCGUUGCUCUUCUUUAAACAAAGUAAAGUAAAACAUCACAACUCCUUCUUUGUACCACAUGAGAUGUUUUUAUUUAACUGUGGAGUGGAAGAAAAUGACAGUUUAGAACGACUGAAACUCGAUGUAGCCGUUGAGUGAAGUUAAGGUGUUGCGCUAAAUGCCGUUACCUGAUGUCGCUGACAGAAUGCGGCACAUUCUCACCUUCUGUAGCUAUAAAGAGCAGGAAGGGAGGCCAACCAGCACAGGCCUCACCACUCUGUGUGAUUCUCAUCCGGUACACACUUUAAUGGGCUAAUAUGCUAACUGACAACCAGCAGAGAGACUUUUUAUUCUUUAUUCAUUUACUAAUUUUGGGACAAAACGAAAUGUUAAUCCCUCAUAAAGUGUUUGCAUGUGAUUUUGGACAAAACCUUCUGACAAAAGAUCACUCAGUGAAUUUUUCUCUACAUUUUUUUUUAAAUCCGUCUAAGUUGUCAGUUAAACAUAGUAGAAGUAGCAUUUCUUGUGCAGGUUCUGGAGAUCAUUCUGUCUUGUUUUGUAAACCUUUCAGUAUUUUUGUGCUUACUAACUUUUCAAAUUAUUUCUGUUUAUGGAUGGCUAUUUUCAAUGAGGUAUGUAGGUAGAUCAUAAAGAUGCUCAAAUCUUACAUGAAAUUAAUUUUAAUUACAAUCUUGCUUCUAAAAACUUUAUUCUCUGCUUUCAUUGACUGUGGUCCAAAUCCCCAUUUAGACAAGUUGACAAUAAAAUUGUACAGAUGCAUGACACCUAAUUAAAGCAGAAUAAUAUUGCAGCCUGCUGCUGAGAUGCAUUAUUUAUAUUUUACAUAUAACCACAUUUCAAUAGAGACAAUGAUGAUAUUAUAGAAAGUGAUUUAAAUAAUCCACAAGUGGGCGUAAAAAAUCUUUCUCUAAAAUGACAUGACAAAUAAUGAGACGUUUUGCUACAAUAACCUGAUUGAUAGAUCUAACUUCUGCUUAUUUGAUCUCCAAUCUCUGUGGAGGGAUUUCAGAUGUUCCCCAAGAAGAUAUUGUCACAUUUGUUCUGAGAUGCCUGCCCAUCUUGGCCCUCAUCACUGCUUCCUUCUGGCUCUACCACCAGGGGACCAAAGCUCAGAGAGACACAAGAGUUUCAGCUACUCCACUGCAAAGCAAAGAAGAAGACCAGGAAGCCAGUGAAGGACAUGAGAGACUGACUGAAGGACUUGAGGGACAUGAGGGAAUGACAGAAGGACAUGAAGGAAUGACAGAAGGACAUGAGAGAAUUACAAAAGGACAUGAGGGACAUGAGGGAAUGGCAGAAGGACAUGAGGAAAUGGCAGAAGGACAUGAAGGACAUGAGGGAAUGACAGAAGGACAUGAAGGAAUGACAGAAGGACAUGAGGAAAUGGCAGAAGGACAUGAGGAAAUGGCAGAAGGACAUGAGGGAAUGACAGAGGGACAUGAGGAAAUGGCAGAAAGACAAGAAGGAAUGACAGAAGGACAUGAGGGACAUGAGGGAAUGACAGAAGGACAUGAGGAAAAGGCAGAAGGACAUGAAGGACAUGAGGGAAUGACAGAAGGACAUGAGGAAAUGGCAGAAAGACAUGAAGGACAUGAGGGAAUGACAGAAGGACAUGAGGAAAAGGCAGAAGGACAUGAGUGAAUGACAGAAGGACAUGAGGAGAUGGCAGAAAGACAUGAGGGACAUGAGGGAAUGAUAGAAGGACAUCAGAAAAUUGCAGAAGGACAUGAGGUAAUGGCAGAAGUAUGAUGAAGAGACAAUGGGAUUAUGACAAAUCAGUGUAAAGCAAAGUGUUGCUCCUACAAUACUAGCUACGUUAUUUCCUAAAAUAUUUGCUGAGAAUACACAAUAUAAUUCAAUGGCAACUGACAAAGGACAAAAUACCCAGAAUAUGAAAAUUCCUAGAUUCAAAUAGGCCCUUGCUUUUGUGGCGUCAUUUUGUAUUUUGUUGUAUUUGAAGAUAGAUCCAGUUUGUAUUCAAUUUAAAUGCCGGAUUGGUUUUUGGUUCUGUGCUGAGUUUUGGGAAGAUCAUCUUGGUAAAACGUUUAAAACACUUUACCAUGUUUCUAAGUUCAUUGACUGUAAACUCAACUCGGACCUAGAGGCUAAUCUAUUGGAAGAACGACUGCAUGCUGGGACAUGUUCACACCAGGACAUUCUUUGAUCGCCUGGAUUAAUGACUCAGACCUUCAUUCUGCGGACAGAAUCAGGGGUCUGUCCGCAUACAACACUGACUCAAGUCACUCAACCGAAUCAAAUUUACCACCUCUGAUCUAAACCAAUCCCCAACCGGAACAUUGAUGUCGGUUUGAGACGAUCUUCACCACUUUUGUUCCAUUUUUGACACUCUGCCCCAGGCCUCGUUCAUUAAACACUGAAAGAACAUUGUGAUAUUUCUGGAAAAGUCUGUAAUUCCUUUACUGUUGGUUUUUCAUUGACAUGGGCUCCUCUAGUCAUUCCACAGGGUCCAUGUUCCCCCAGAGAUGCUGAAACCACAACCGGUGUGGUUCUUCUUAGGAGUCACAACACGAAAUCACCUCACACCACAACACCCAAGUUUUCAGAGCAGCUAGAUAUAGUUUUGUCACCAGACAUUCAUGAGGAAAAGAUGCCGACGUUUAGUGAUAAAGGGCCCUUACUUCCAGCUGGCCAAAGGGAUGUUGGCAGAUUAGACUCAUUUUCACUCAGGUUACCCUGAGAACCAGGUCUAUACAGAUAACCUGUGGUUUCUGCAACACUGUGCUCACUGGAUGAUGUUGUAACAUGAACAUUUUUUGUUGUUUUGACGUCAGAUGUGAAAUAUCUGACAGAUGCUCUGGAUAUUUCCAUGCCUUUCUUGAACAUGGUGAACUGACUAAUACUCUGUAAAGAAAAGCAAUUAAAAGUUCAGGAAGUAAAAGCCUGCAUCUCACUUGUCCUUUCACAUGUAUAAGCACAGUUUAAAAUGCGACUAAAUACAUAUGUGGCGGCAAGCAGCUGAAACAAACCCCGUGUCUCAUCGUCACCCACUGAGGGAAAGACGCCCGGUUGACGAUGCGAAUCGACGUAAAAAAGGAGGAGUUGACUGCCUUCUGCUGGUCUGCAGGAGACAGUUUGUGUUUCACGGAAACUCUGCGAGCAAAAGCUGGAACGCUUGUUCUGAUCUGGAUGUAAAGUUUCUGAAGCGAUAACGGCGAUGAAGCUUCCUCCGAACACCCUACUGCUCCUCUGUGUCCGUUCAUCUGGGCGUAAGUGAGAACCUUAAAGUAUUCUUUCAUCUGAUUGUGCAGAACUCACAGGAACCCAACCAAAUUAAAAGAGCUCAACUGUAGGUUGCACCAGAAACUUGUUAAUAAUUAUAGAAAGUGUGUAGUCUAGGUUCAACCUGCUGAGCAAAUAUUUACUCAAUUAUCAGUGCUUUUCUAUGCACGUUUAAAAAUGUUCCAGUAAUCAUUUGAAAAAAAAAAAACUCCACAACCGAUUCAGGCAACUAGUUCUUUCUUGUGCCAUUGUUCAAAUAAAUGAUGAAUAGUUCAAAAUUAAAAUGACAUUCAUGCUGAUGACGUGUAAACAUCAAAUAAACCCGUGUUUUGCUUACUGCA